AUGAACGCUGGCGGCGUGCCUAAUACAUGCAAGUCGAGCGAACGGACGAGAAGCUUGUUUUUCUGAUGUUAGCGGCGGACGGGUGAGUAACACGUGGAUAACCUACCUAUAAGACUGGGAUAACUUCGGGAAACCGGAGCUAAUACCGGAUAAUAUUUUGAACCGCAUGGUUCAAAAGUGAAAGACGGUCUUGCUGUCACUUAUAGAUGGAUCCGCGCUGCAUUAGCUAGUUGGUAAGGUAACGGCUUACCAAGGCAACGAUGCAUAGCCGACCUGAGAGGGUGAUCGGCCACACUGGAACUGGGACACGGUCCAGACUCCUACGGGAGGCAGCAGUAGGGAAUCUUCCGCAAUGGGCGAAAGCCUGACGGAGCAACGCCGCGUGAGUGAUGAAGGUCUUCGGAUCGUAAAACUCUGUUAUUAGGGAAGAACAUAUGUGUAAGUAACUGUGCACAUCUUGACGGUACCUAAUCAGAAAGCCACGGCUAACUACGUG
rnacentral:rRNA from 1 species